rnacentral:rRNA from 1 species
CCAAAGACGAGCGCCUUUACGCUUGCCUUUAGUACCUCGCAACGGCUGCGGACGACCAGGGCGAGCGCCAGAACGUUUUUUACCUUUAGACAUUACAUCACUCCUUCUGCACGUAAUUUUUGACGCACGUUUUCUUCUGCGUCAGUAAGAACGUCAGUGUUUCCUGCGCGUACACGCAAGGUAAACGCGAACAAUUCAGC